rnacentral:rRNA from 1 species
UACAGAGGGGGCGAGCGUUGUUCGGAAUUACUGGGCGUAAAGGGCGCGUAGGCGGUCCGGUAAGUCCGCUGUGAAAGUCGGGGGCUCAACCCUGGGAUGCCGGUGGAUACUGUCGGGCUCGAGUCCGGAAGAGGAGUGUGGAAUUCCUGGUGUAGCGGUGAAAUGCGCAGAUAUCAGGAGGAACACCAAUGGCGAAGGCAGCACUCUGGGACGUGACUGACGCUGAGACGCGAAAGCGUGGGGAGCAAACAGG